rnacentral:rRNA from 1 species
GACGAACGCUGGCGGCGUGCCUAAUACAUGCAAGUAGGACGCAGUUCCGAACGGGUGAGUAACGCGUAGGUAACUGCCCAUUAGCGGGGGAUAACUAUUGGAAACGAUAGCUAAUACCGCAUACUAGUAGCUGGAACUGCGUUGGUUUAGCUAGUAGGGAGGGUAAUGGCCUACCUAGGCGACGAUACAUAGACGACCUGGAAAGGGGAUGGGGCAAACUUGGACUGAGACACGGCCCAGACCCCUCCGGGAGGCAGCAGUAAGGAAUCUUCGGAAAUGGGGGGAACCCUGACCGGGCAACGCCGCGGGAGGGAAGAAGGUUUUCGGAACGUAAAGCUCUGUUGUUAAGGAAGCGGUACUUAACCAGAAAGGGACGGCUAACUACGUGCCAGCAGCCGCGGUAAUUC